GUGCACCAGUCGCGAAUCAUUCGCAAUGGGCGAAAGCCUGACGAUGCGACGCCGUGUGAACGAAGAAGGCCCUCGGGGUCGUAAAGUUCUUUCGCCUGGGGAACAAGAGAGGGAGGAUGAAUAAUCCUUUAAUUUGAGGGUACCAGGUAAAGAAGCACCGGCUAACUCCGUGCCAGCAGCUGCGGUAAUACGGAGGGGUGCAAGCAUUAAUCGGAUUUAUUGGGCGUAAAGGGCGUGUAGGCGGCCGUUCAAGUCUGUUGUGAAAUUCCGGGGCUCAACCCCGGAGCUGCAAUGGAAACUGGAUGGCUAGAGGAUAGGCGGAGAAAAUGGAAUUCCACAAGUAGCGGUGAAAUGCGUAGAUAUGUGGAGGAACACCGGUGGCGAAGCGGUUUUCUAGCUUAUUCCUGACGCUGAGGCGCGAAAGCGAAGGGGAGCAAACAGG
rnacentral:rRNA from 1 species